AAUCUCUUGGACAUUAAUCAAGUCGGCCGAGGCUUUACAGUUACCAUUGUUUAAAUUAUUGCAUCUCCUAUUUAUUAUGGUUGGUCCUUUUCUGCUUUUUUGCUUUCCGUUCAAUCUCCAUUCACUUAAUGCUUAUUGCCUUGUCUUUGUUUCUCUCUCAUCAUCUCCCUCAGCUUUUUGUUCAUAGUGUUUAUUGCCUGCUAGGGUUUUCUUCCCUUUCAAAAACUUCUACAAAAAUCCAAUACCUUUUUAUAAUCCUUUCCUAUAUAGCUCUAUAAUGGUGCGAUCUCCUUAAUCUUAGGAGAAGCAAACGACAAAGCUUGAAAUAUUUGGCACUACCAAGAAUAAUAGGUGGAAUGUCGGAUAAAAUCUAAAAGACUUAGAAGCCGUAAUAAGUGUUGUUUGUGAGCAAGAUGUCUUCUUCAAGCAACUACUCCAAUCCUCCAUGCGCAGCCUGCAAAUUCUUGAGAAGAAAAUGUUUGCCAAGUUGCAUUUUUGCUCCUUAUUUCCCUCCGGAGGAGCCAAUAAAGUUCACCACCGUACACAAAGUAUUUGGUGCGAGCAACGUAAGUAAACUCCUGAAUGAAAUCCAACCACAUCAGAGAGAAGAUGCAGUGAAUUCUCUGGCUUAUGAAGCCGAAGCGCGCUUAAAAGAUCCAGUCUAUGGCUGUGUUGGAGCAAUUUCAGUUCUCCAAAAGCAAGUUAUUCGCCUUCAAAAAGAACUCGAUGCCACAAAUGCUGACUUAAUGCGAUACACCAAUUAUGAGUCAGGAGGAGGAACGGGUAGUGGAAUGUUUAGUCCUAGUUAUUCUUCUGCAUGGAAUAGUCGUAUUUCAGGAGAUCAUAACAAUGGAUUUGACCAUGAUAGUGGCAGGUGAUUGAUCAGGAUAUUCUAGCUAGAUAUAUAUUGUUAGUAUUUGUUAACUUUGUUUCCCGGAGGCGGAGGGGAAAGCAAACCUUAACGUAUAAAACAAUCCUAUCAAUUUGGUGGAUUAUUGAGUUUGUGUAUAUGUAUAUGUGGAGAAAUAUAUGUUUCCAAUAUAUAUGUGAAUUCUUAUUUUGCACCAUCUA